UCAGACACCGCCUCCUCAAGCCGGACUAUAAAAUAAGGUACAUUUGCGCCAGCCAGUCUUUUCUGCUCAGAAGACCCCUCUCCAUAUGUAGAAAGAGUUGUUUUUCUUUAUCUUCUCUUCUGCCUAUUAAACCUCUGUUCCUAAACUCCUGGUGUGUGUCUGGUCCUAAAUUUCCCUGGCAUGAGACGACGAACCCUAAGGUGACCACCGACUGCAGACUGUAUUAACUGAAACUGGCCACAGCAAUGUUUCCUAUGUGCUUUUCCAGAAUCCUGCCACUUUUCAUCAAGAGCUGAAGUCUAUUCCCCUUCCUUCUCAACCUAGGUGAGACUUUGUGACUAUCUCCAACCUGUAGAAUGAGGUAGAAAUAAUGCUGCAUAACUUCAGAGACUAUGUCAUAAAAGGCCGUAUGGUUUCUGCCUGGUUCUUUUUCUCUUGUGACACUUGCCCUUGGAGACUCUGCCCACUGUGCUGUGAGGAAGCCUAAACUAGCACACAUGGAAAAGGCCACAUGGAGGAGCCCACCUGGAGAGGAACUGAGGCAUCCUUGGAUAAUGGCCAGCAUCAUCUGGCUGAGCCAGACAUGUGCGAACAAGCCUUCAGAACCUAAGUUUAGGUAUUUCCAGUGCCUAGACUUGAAGCUUUCAGCUGAGGCAGCAGACACUGUAGAGCAGAGCCAAGCCAUUUCCACUGUGCCCUGUUCAAAUUCUUGGCCACAGAAUGUAUAAGCAGAAUAAAUGACUGUUUUACCCAUAAA